rnacentral:rRNA from 1 species
AGACCCGAAACCCGGUGAUCUAGCCAUGGGCAGGUUGAAGGUUGGGUAACACUAACUGGAGGACCGAACCGACUAAUGUUGAAAAAUUAGCGGAUGACCUGUGGCUGGGGGUGAAAGGCCAAUCAAACCGGGAGAUAGCUGGUUCUCCCCGAAAGCUAUUUAGGUAGCGCCUCGUGAAUUCAUCUCCGGGGGUAGAGCACUGUUUCGGCUAGGGGGCCAUCCCGGCUUACCAACCCGAUGCAAACUGCGAAUACCGGAGAAUGUUAUCACGGGAGACACACGGCGGGUGCUAACGUCCGUCGUGAAGAGGGAAACAACCCAGACCGCCAGCUAAGGUCCCAAAGUCAUGGUUAAGUGGGAAACGAUGUGGGAAGGCCCAGACAGCCAGGAUGUUGGCUUAGAAGCAGCCAUCAUUUAAAGAAAGCGUAAUAGCUCACUGGUCGAGUCGGCCUGCGCGGAAGAUGUAACGGGGCUAAACCAUGCACCGAAGCUGCGGCAGCGAACGUAUCACCCAAGACAACUUUACGGAGUUGACGAUUGACGGAGCGAAGCGACGUCAAAGCGUUCAUUAAAGUCGAGUUGGCUUAGGGAUACGU